AUAGCGUAUAUUAAAGUUGUUGCAGUUAAAAAGCUCGUAGUUGGAUCUUGGGUCGGGGGGAGCGGUCCGCCCCUCGUGGGUGUGCACUGGUCCACCCGACCUUUCUGCCGGGGACGCGCUCCUGGCCUUCGUUGGUCGGGACGCGGAGUCGGCGAUGUUACUUUGAAAAAAUUAGAGUGCUCAAAGCAAGCCUAUGCUCUGAAUACAUUAGCAUGGAAUAACGUGAUAGGACUCUGGUCCUGUUGUGUUGGUCUUCGGGACCGGAGUAAUGAUUAAUAGGGACAGUUGGGGGCAUUCGUAUUUCAUUGUCAGAGGUGAAAUUCUUGGAUUUAUGAAAGACGAACUUCUG
rnacentral:rRNA from 1 species